GUAAACAUAGUUUAAUGAAAACAUUAGAUUGUGAAUCUAAUAAUAGAAGUUUAAACCUUCUUAUUUACC
rnacentral:tRNA from 1 species